AUUGAACGCUGGCGGCAUGCUUUACACAUGCAAGUCGAGCGGCAGCGCGGGGGCAACCCUGGCGGCGAGCGGCGAACGGGUGAGUAAUGCAUCGGAACGUAUCCUCGAGUGGGGGAUAACCCAGCGAAAGUUGGGCUAAUACCGCAUGAGCUCUGAGGAGGAAAGCGGGGGACCUGCGAGGGCCUCGCGCUGGAGGAGCGGCCGAUGUCCGAUUAGCUAGUUGGUGGGGUAAAGGCUUACCAAGGCGACGAUCGGUAGCUGGUCUGAGAGGAUGAUCAGCCACACUGGGACUGAGACACGGCCCAGACUCCUACGGGAGGCAGCAGUGGGGAAUUUUGGACAAAGGGGGCAACCCUGAUCCAGCCAUGCCGCGUGAGUGAAGAAGGCCUUCGGGUUGUAAAGCUCUUUCGGACGGAACGAAAUGGGCGGGACUAAUACUCCUGUCUGAUGACGGUACCGUAAGAAGAAGCACCGGCUAACUACGUG
rnacentral:rRNA from 1 species